UUGAAAUAAACUUGGUGUGGGUUGUAGCUGGCCUUCUGGCAAGUGCUCGCCUUCAUCAUCUUUAUAUUUCCACCUGUGCACCUUCUGUAGACCAGAAAGAAAAAGAGGAAUUUUUUGUUGUGCCAAUUUGGCCUUCAUGUAAACCUCUGAAGUAUUUCUUGUCUAUGCUUUUAUUAUACCCCAAAAAAUGUAAUAGAAUGUCAAUCUAUGGGCCUUUUGUGCCUAUAAAAACAAAAAUUAUA
rnacentral:misc_RNA from 1 species